rnacentral:rRNA from 1 species
UACGGAGGGUGCGAGCGUUGUUCGGAAUUACUGGGCGUAAAGGGCGCGUAGGCGGCCCGCUAAGUCGAACGUGAAAUCCCCGAGCUCAACUCGGGAACUGCGUCCGAUACUGGCGGGCUUGAAUCCGGGAGAGGGAUGCGGAAUUCCAGGUGUAGCGGUGAAAUGCGUAGAUAUCUGGAGGAACACCGGUGGCGAAGGCGGCAUCCUGGACCGGUAUUGACGCUGAGGAGCGAAAGCCAGGGGAGCAAACGGG